CCGGGAUGUUCAUAACCCUUUGUUGUCCGACUCUGUUGCCUCCGGGGCGACCCUGCCUUCGGGCGGGGGCUCCGGGUGGACACUUCAAACUCUUGCGUAACUUUGCAGUCUGAGUAAACUUAAUUAAUAAAUUAAAACUUUUAACAACGGAUCUCUUGGUUCUGGCAUCGAUGAAGAACGCAG
rnacentral:misc_RNA from 1 species